rnacentral:sRNA from 1 species
CCCGGCACUCACGUGCCGGGCUGACCUAUGCCGCCGCUUCGCGGCU